rnacentral:rRNA from 1 species
CCUACGGGUGGCAGCAGUGGGGAAUAUUGGGCAAUGGAGGAAACUCUGACCCAGCAACGCCGCGUGAAUGAUGAAGGUCUUCGGAUUGUAAAGUUCUUUUCUAAGGGAAGUAGAAAGUGACGGUACCUUAGGAAUAAGCCUCGGCUAACUACGUGCCAGCAGCCGCGGGAAUACGUAGGAGGCGAGCGUUAUCCGGAAGGACUGGGUGUAAAGGGUGCGUAGGUGGGUUGGCAAGUUAGUAGCGUAAGUUCGAGGCUCAACCUUGGAACUACUACUAAAACUGUUGGACUUGAGUGCAGGUGAGGCAACCGGAAUUCCUAGUGUAGCGGUGGAAUGCGUAGAUAUUAAGAAGAACACCAAUGGCGAAGGCAGGUUGCUAAACUGUAACUGACACUGAGGCACGAAAGCGUGGGUAGCAAACAGGAUUAGAUACCCCAGUAGUC